UGCAAAGGAUCGUGACCAGCUGAACACAGAGCUCGAGUCUCCGCCAGAGCCUUGGCCUCACCAGACACACAGUACCCUCGAGAGCCAGAGGAAGGACCUCAUCCUCAACUGUAUUUCUUAGUCUGCUGCCAUAGCAACCAUGCAAGGGAUGGAGCCCACCUCAGCGGACGUCAACCCUGCUCUGCAGCAGCAGGAGCAGCCUGCGGCUCUACACUCAUUUCUGCCCAGACGGAUGGCAGAGAAGUUCUUGAAAGGGGAACCAAAAAUCCUGGGGACUGUGCAGAUUCUGAUUGCUCUGAUGAACUUCAGCUUGGGAAUAGUAGUAAUGAGUGUCAUGGUGCCAGCUUAUGAUCCACACCCCAUUUUAUUCAACAUGGGUUACCCAAUUUGGGGGUCAAUGAUGUUUAUUAUUUCAGGGUCCUUGUCAAUUGCAGCAGGAGCUACAACAACAAAAGGCAUG